UGCCAGACUCCUACGGGAGGCAGCAGUGGGGAAUAUUGCACAAUGGGGGAAACCCUGAUGCAGCGACGCCGCGUGAGCGAUGAAGUAUUUCGGUAUGUAAAGCUCUAUCAGCAGGGAAGAAGAUGACGGUACCUGACUAAGAAGCCCCGGCUAACUACGUGCCAGCAGCCGCGGUAAUACGUAGGGGGCAAGCGUUAUCCGGAUUUACUGGGUGUAAAGGGAGCGUAGACGGCAUGGCAAGUCAGAUGUGAAAGCCCGGGGCUCAACCCCGGGACUGCAUUUGAAACUGUCAGGCUGGAGUGCAGGAGAGGUAAGUGGAAUUCCUAGUGUAGCGGUGAAAUGCGUAGAUAUUAGGAGGAACACCAGUGGCGAAGGCGGCUUACUGGACUGUAACUGACGUUGAGGCUCGAAAGCGUGGGGAGCAAACAGGAUUAGAUACCCCAGUAAUU
rnacentral:rRNA from 1 species